ensembl:snoRNA small nucleolar RNA snR60/Z15/Z230/Z193/J17
CAGAUACAGUGAUGAUAACAUAGUUCAGCAGAUUGAACUGUGGUGAAGAACUGCAACUGUCUUUCGCUCCUAUCUGAUGUAUCUC